rnacentral:misc_RNA from 1 species
UCACCGCCUCAAGCUUGGCUUGUCGUUGGGCCCUUUGUCACCUGGUGACAAGCCCAAAAGAUAAUGACCGGUGUCAUACUGACUCUAUAUGCAACGAGCUUUUACAGCACGCAUCUGGCAGUCAGGUGGCCCGGUCCUCACCUCUUUAUUUUCUCAA